rnacentral:rRNA from 1 species
UACGGAGGGUGCGAGCGUUGUCCGGAAUCACUGGGCGUAAAGGGCGCGUAGGUGGCGCGGGAAGUCAACGGUGAAAGUUCGGGGCUCAACCCUGAAUCGGCCGUCGAUACUCCCGGGCUCGAGCACUGUAGAGGCAGAUGGAAUUCCGGGUGUAGCGGUGGAAUGCGUAGAGAUCCGGAAGAACACCGGUGGCGAAGGCGGUCUGCUGGGCAGUUGCUGACACUGGAGGCGCGACAGCGUGGGGAGCAAACAGGG